CCUACGGGUGGCAGCAGUAGGGAAUUUUGCGCAAUGGGCGAAAGCCUGACGCAGCAACGCCGCGUGAUCGAGACGCCCUUCGGGGUGUAAAGACCUGUCAGUGGGGACGAAACUUGACGGUACCCACAGAGGAAUCACCGGCUAACUCCGUGCCAGCAGCCGCGGUAAUACGGGGGGUGCAAGCGUUGUCCGGAAUCAUUGGGCGUAACGGGUUCGUAGGCGGCCGGUAAAGUCUGGGGUUAAAGGCAGAGGCUCAAAUUCGGAACGGCACUGGAUACUUGCGAGCUAGAAUGCGGUAGCGGUAAGGGGAAUUCAUGGUGUAGCGGUGAAAUGCUUAGAUAUCAGGAGGAACAUCGGUGGCGAAGGCGCUUUACUGGGCCAUAAUUGACGCUGAGGAACGAAAGCGAGGGUAGCAAAUGGGAUUAGAUACCCCAGUAGUC
rnacentral:rRNA from 1 species